CCUACGGGUGGCUGCAGUGAGGAAUAUUGGUCAAUGGGCGGGAGUCUGAACCAGCCAAGCCGCGUGAGGGAUGAAGGUCCAGCGGAUUGUAAACCUCUUUUGUCAGGGAAUAAAGCGGGGCACUUGUCCCCUUUUGCGUGUACUUUAUGAAUAAGCAUCGGCUAACUCCGUGCCAGCAGCCGCGGUAAUACGGAGGAUCCGAGCGUUAUCCGGAUUUAUUGGGUUUAAAGGGGGCGUAGGGGGGGUGUUAAGUCAGUUGUGAAAGGUUGGGGCUCAACCCCAACCGGGCGAUUGAUACUGGCAGGCUGGAGUAGGGGAGAGGUAGGCGGAAUUCGCGGUGUAGCGGUGAAAUGCUUAGAUAUCGCGCAGAACCCCGAUUGCGAAGGCAGCGUACCGACUCGAGACUGACACUGAGGCACGAAAGCGUGGGUAUCGAACAGGAUUAGAUACCCUGGUAGUC
rnacentral:rRNA from 1 species